AACGAACGCUGGCGGCGUGCUUAACACAUGCAAGUCGAACGCGAAAGUUUUCUUCGGAAGACGAGUAGAGUGGCGCACGGGUGAGUAACGCGUAAGUAAUCUGCCCUGGUAUCCGGGAUAACCCACCGAAAGGUGUGCUAAUACGGGAUACGCUGAUUUAUCAGGAAAGGUGGCCUCUUCAUGAAAGCUACUGUACCAGGAGGAGCUUGCGUACCAUUAGCUAGUUGGUAGGGUAAUGGCCUACCAAGGCGACGAUGGUUAGCGGGUCUGAGAGGAUGAUCCGCCACACUGGAACUGAAACACGGACCAGACUCCUACGGGAGGCAG
rnacentral:rRNA from 1 species